AACGAACGCUGGCGGCGUGCCUAACACAUGCAAGUCGAGCGCGAAAAGGGCAACCUGAGUAGAGCGGCGCACGGGUGCGUAACACGUGGGUAAUCUGCCUUAGAGUCGAGGAUAACCUUCCGAAAGGUUGGCUAAUACUCGGUAAGCUUACGGUGUCUUCGGACGCUGUGGGCAAAGUAGGCCUCUGUUUACAAGCUUACGCUCUGAGAUGAGCCCGCGGCCCAUCAACUAGUUGGCGGUGUAACGGACCACCAAGGCAACGACGGGUAGCUGGUCUGAGAGGACGAUCAGCCACACUGGAACUGAGACACGGUCCAGACUCCUACGGGAGGCAGCAGUGGGGAAUUUUCCACAAUGGGCGAAAGCCUGAUGGAGCAACGCCGCGUGUGUGAUGAAGGAUUUCGGAUCGUAAAGCACUUUCGACCGGGACGAAAAACCUCUGGCUAACAUCCAGGGGCCUGACGGUACCGGGAGAAGAAGCACCGGCUAACUCUGUGCCAGCAGCCGCCGUAA
rnacentral:rRNA from 1 species